rnacentral:rRNA from 1 species
UACAGAGGUCUCAAGCGUUGUUCGGAUUCAUUGGGCGUAAAGGGUGCGUAGGCGGCGCGGUAAGUCGGGUGUGAAAUUUCGGAGCUUAACUCCGAAACUGCAUUCGAUACUGCCGUGCUUGAGGACUGGAGAGGAGACUGGAAUUUACGGUGUAGCAGUGAAAUGCGUAGAUAUCGUAAGGAAGACCAGUGGCGAAGGCGGGUCUCUGGACAGUUCCUGACACUGAGACACGAAGGCCAGGGGAGCAAACGGG